UUGGUUACAGCUACCACCUUCCUCUCGAGCCAACCUCUUCCCUACCAUCUCAGUUCCCUUCCUUUGUGGGAUGGCCACAGCAGCGAUAGUGAAUACGAAUUCAAGUAUUUGUAGAGAGAAUCUCUCAUAAGCAACACCUGUCAAUAAAAAAUUCCUAUGGCCAAUGAGCUGAGACAGAAAUAGGAGGCGGGACAUUGGCAGGAAGACAGAGGAUUCUGGGAAAUAACGAGCCGCAUGGGCGAUUUGCCUUGGAUCACGGGUGUAAACCAGCAGGUGGCUGAACUGAGAAGAAAAUAAAGAGGAGAUUCGUCCCAGACUUGGACACAUGAAACUGAGGAGAGGAGAGUUAAGGCCACAGGAAGUACUUCUUAUCCUUAAAGCCUGGAAUCCCUACUUGACUGCAAACUAGAAAUCAUUUUCACCACAAAAAGCCCAGCUGUUCCUGAGGCACCGCACAGCAGCAGACAGAUUCCAGGCACACAUGCGGAUGGGCCUCUCCCGGUGAAGCGGCGAUUGCAAACUGUCAGUGAAGCUUUCAAUCAUUAAAUAUGUUGGCCUCAUUUAGUUCUUUAUUCAAAAGUCAAGCUUGGUAUGCACCUCUGGUGAAGUAGAUUUAAAUAUUGAUACCGGAAGACCUCGACCAUAACCACGUUGCCAGAGAAUUUCAAAAUAACGUUUUGGUGGUGGCAUUUUACUCCCUUUGGAACAGUGUUCAUGAAACAAACGACCAAAACAUGCACAAGAUCUCAGUAGAGAAAUGAAAAGGAGUCCCGUGUCAGAAGACACAGAAUAUUCCCAGGAGCACAACACAAAGGCUUUCUCUUCUCUCUCUCUUAAGGAAUUCUAAUAUAGCAAGUAAGCAAGUGACUUUAAAAAGCAAAUUCUAACAUGUUCUAAACAAAAGAGAAACUGUACCUAAGCCCCAGCAGUACGGUUCUGGAACCCUCCAGGAAUCUCCAUAUCUCAGAGAAAGUCUGCUACAGUACAUCUCAGCCGUGAGCCCCCUGCAGCUGCUUUACACGGAAGAGCACCCACUAUAAUGGACAAAUGCUUCUACAAUUUCUUUGUUAUAAAUCAAAGAAGAAAGAGAUUAAGACAGCACAGUAAUAUAGCUGUUUAGAACAACAACAACAACAACAAAAACAGACAAAAUAUGCACAUGAAGGCAAUCUUCUGGGACAUGGCCGUGCUACUGUGCCAUCCCUUAAUUAAGCAGUGGCACAAUUUAUGGUGUUUCCAGAAUGGUGCCACUGACAGUUUGAAAGUUUAAUGGAAUUUGAAGUUUUCCUGUGACAGAUAGCUUUUUUGACUAUGCAUCUUGAAUGGGAGAGCAAUUUGGUUGUGAAAAUUAUUUACUGCUGAAAUAGUUUAUUCUCUUGCAUCGCACCUAAUCACUUAAAUUUCUUAGCUUUAGACAGUUAAGAUUUUUAAAAUCAGAUUAAUCUGCAAACUGUUUGGCUCCUAAACCAAAGAACAAAAAAUAAAUUCCACUCAGCAAAUACACUCAGCUCAUUUCCUUCCAUUGAGGUCAUUGUGUCAGUCAUAACUCUUAAAUAUCUUUCAUGCUCUAAAUUUUAUUUUUGACUCUAUGUACACCUUCAUAUACACAUAAUAAAUUUACAGUUCUAACUUAGGAAAUGCACUGAGUGGUUGUAUAUAUAAUUCAAAUGUCUGCCUCAACAGGAACACUUAAGAAUAACUUACUGUCAUAUACUUGGUAAUACUAAGUAAUUCUGCAAAGGUCAAAGGUCACUCCUCUAUCCAGUUUCAAAUACAAAAGUGAAGCAGAGUUAGAUCAAUUCAUCCAGGGUCUCUUGUAGAAACAUUCACCACACAGUGCUAGUUGGUGCACACAAGUAUUAGAAAAGCAGAAAAACCAUGAGACUUCUAGAGAAACAUCUCACGGACUGAACUGACUUUUUUAGUAGGAGCUAAUGAAGUCAUUUCAAACUUGUAAAGAAAGAUACUAUCCACUGACUAUAAUCAUGGAGGUUCUGACUGUCACAGGAAGAAUCAAGGCAGGAAGUUGGAGCCAGAAGCUGAAGCGGAGACCAGGGGAGAUUGCUGGGCUGCUCACUUUCUUACAUAAGGUUCACCUGCCAUGGAAGAUACCACAAAGUGCUAGGCCCUCCCACUCCAGCUAGUUAAGAAAAUGCCCUCAUAGGCCAAUCCCCAACUGGGCUUUCCUCCUCCAGGUGACUGUAGUUUGUGUCAAAGGGACAUCUCAUCCCCCCUGCCCUGGGGGUGUGUGGAAUUCACAGUAUAUAUGUUAUUGAAUUCAUCUCAAUUUUGCUAAGAAGCAAAAAAAUGUAAUUCUAAUUCAAAAUUCAAUCGUCAUCAGCAUUUAUUAAGAAAGGGGCUACUAUGUAGCCUUGGCUGGCUUGGAACUUGCUACAUCGAUCAGGAUGCUCUUAAACUCAUAGAGUUUACCUGCCUCAGCCUCAAAAGCACUAGGGUCAAAGGAUUGAGCCCUCUCACUUAGCUGAAAGCAUUGUUCGCAUUAAAAAGUACUCAGGACAACCUGCCAAUAUUCUAAAGCUUACAAUUUAUAUUAAACUCUGAUUCUAAAAGUGCAUUAUUUUUUGUUUUCUGCAAAAGAGGAUAAGGAUUAUUUUGGACUUCUUAGUAAUGUCUGUUUGCAACUGAUACUAAUCUAGAUUUACUGUCUAGAGUUUAAAACUCAUCCAGGGACCUCAGUCUUUACUUAAGACAAGAAAAACUACAGCUAAUAGGAAACUAAUGGAAAUAAUGCCCAAUUUUUAAUAAUUCUUUCAGUGGCAUUGUUGUGAGCUCAUUUUUUCCCUGAUGCCUUUAUAAACCACCAGCAAUACAGGAGAUUGUUUUAGGAAAAAAAUGUAUGAUACUCUCUAUAAUAAAGAUCCCAUUCAUACCCUAUCUGGGAGCCCACAGUCAGAAUGAGCAUCUGUCUUCCUGGAUGGUCAAACUGAAAUGUUCAGUGUGGGCAGUACACACACACACACACACACACACACUUUAAGGGAUUACUAGUGUAACAUUCAUAACACCAAAGUGCCAGCACAGUAGCAGGAUUGACCACCCCCACUUCCCCAAAUGCUUUGUGAGCUGCUGUGGGAAUUGACAGAACAGCUAAGAGGUUUGCUUUAAAUCAGGAUUAUAAAGGUCCCAGAAUGACUGCAUCGAGAGCUCUCAGAUGAGACAUGAAUGAGUGCUCAUUGUAAAGUGCUCUGGGCAGGGAGAAGUCGGAGCUGGGAUUAAAGAAAAGCCAGACACUGUACAAAUCGUCUACUUAGCACAUGUAUCAAAGUGACAAUUGAAGGACUUUAGGAAUUAAAUUUAUACAUUAGUGAAUUUAAGCCUAUUUUAAAUAGUUAUCAUACGCACAUAGAAUGAACUAUUUUUGUUAAAAUUUAAGAUGGAGUUUUUUCAAGUUAUAAUACCAGGUAGAGACGGGUUGGAUAAUAGAAACAUGGAAUAGGAAACCAGACACAUUUUGAAAUCACGCUCAGUAACUGGGCAACCCAGGGCUAAAUGUUUAUUGUGGCUUGAAUAUAGACUGUUCCCCAGAAGCCCCUAUAUUUGAGUACUUGGUCCCCACUGCUGGCACCAUUCAGAAAAGUCAUGGGAGCUUUGGGCUUGGAGUCUUUCUGGAUAAAGAGAUCAAUUUGUAUAGGUGUUGCCCACCCUCCUCACUUCCUGUCCAUAGUCUGCUCCCCGACUGCCAAUGCAAUGUGACCAGCCCCCUCUGCCCAUCCGCCUCUCCCGCCAUGAUAGACUGGGUCCUUCUAGAACCAAGAGCCAAGCCACACCCAUUAUUAAGUAGUUUUGUCGGAUGUCACAUUGUAGCAGUCUGUAAAGUAACUUUCGGUGCUUCAGGUCUACCAGUUCUCUGUUUUCUCCUAAUAAAAUGGCACAAGCUACAAGGCUUGCACUGGUGGCUAGCAUGCUGAACUGGUGGCUAGCCAUGCUGCAGCAUUACAUAUGAAGGAAUUGUCUGCUGUGCUUGACACACCAGUGUAAAUACACAUUAAAUCAACUGCUUUCCCCUUCCUUCCUUCCUUCCUUCUUUCCUUCCUUCCUUCUUUCCUUCCUUCCUUCUUUCCUUCCUUCCUUCCAUCCUUCCUUCCUCUUCCAAAUUCCAAGGAUGAUAAUGACUCUCACAAUGAUUUGUGAGUGCACACGAUCAGAACACAGCAUUUCUGGGUUCAACUGUCAGAUCAGGAGGUAAGAAUGCCAGGCGAUUCUAAACACCCGUGUCUUUCUCCUGAGGGAACUAUUUACCCAAACACACACACACACACACACACACACACACACACACACACACACACACACAAAGCUUCAGCUCUACACUGAAUCAUUUCCAAAGUAGGCAUGAGGUAAAGAAAGAGGAAUAGACUUUCGCAAAAUAUAUUUUUGUAAAUAAAAGUCUGUUUGAAAAAAAAUUAGUCAAAAGAGUUUGACUCCAAACUGUGUUGUUGUUGUUGGUGGUGGUGGUGCCGUGGUGGUGGUGGUGGUCGUGGUGGUGGUUGGGGGUCUUGUUUGGUAGCCCAGACUGGUAUCCAACUCAUGAAUGUCUCUUUGUUCGCUUCUGUUGUGUUAGCAUUAUAGGGUCUGUUGUGUUAGCAUUUUAGGGUCUGUUGUGUUAGCAUUAUAGGUGUGAGCCAUUACAUCCAGCCUCACUAUAUGUGUCCAUUUCUUCCCUCCUUUUAAUCUUUUCAACCUCCAAAGUCAAAGUGAAUAACAUAGGAAGUAUAUGCCGUAAUAUAAACAGAACGAGCACCAAUAAGAAACAAGACCCCUUGUCCCUGCCGAGCUCCAUGAACUUACCUGCCACGAAUGCUGCCCUGUAAGUUAGGAGUGCAGCCUAGCUGUUUGCUCAUCUGAGUAAGAAUAAUUCCACAUGUUCUCAUGAGCUCAUGGAUUUAUCUGUGAAUAACACUGUCAUAGGUCAUAACAUACUCGUAAGAUAUUAUUUUCUAUAUUUUGUUACCAUUGCUUUAAAAUUGAGAGCUUCCAUCUGUCCAUAGGAAACAUAAACACUUUAACCAAAUUUCUCAGAACACCUAAAUCCAUUCAUCCCAGAUAUACUGUUGUGUAUGUUCUAUUUAGUAAAAAAAAAGAAAAUUCAGCAUGGUGGUUCAGCAUUUUUUUUUUGGUUCUUUUUUCCGGAGCUGGGGACCGAACCCAGGGCCCUGCGCUUGCUAGGCAAGCGCUCUACCACUGAGCUACAUCCCCAGCCCCACAUGUUUUUUUAAGACAGGAUCUGAUCUAGUCCACAUUCUGAAGGCUCAGAUUAUAGGUAUGUGGCACCAUACCCAACAUUUUAGCUUUUUAAGACACAUUUUACAAUGUCAACUCGGAGUGCACACAUUGCUCAAUUUCAAUUUUAUCUGAAAGGAGAGGUGAACAGUUGUCAGCCCUGCAAAAACCAACAGAGGGAGGAUAGUUCCAUGUCAUUGGUCUCAUCCAGAUCGCCACUGUACUGACUUCUAGGGUGUCCUGCAGAUCUAUGGAGAUGAGGAUCUAUCUUCAGUGACAGUGCCCAUGUUAACAGAACAGCGCUAGAAUGAUCAGGGUCCCAAAGCCACAUGCACGAUUCUGAUAAAUAAAUACCUAGAAGUUUGGGGAAGAGCCUGGAGAAACCUUUUGAUUAGCAAAUAAAUAGUCAUUUUGAAAAUGAAGGAGGUAUGGCCUUCCUUCGACUCUAACGGUCUCUUUAAAAACAUAGCCAGUUUCAUAAUAUCAUCUACACAAUAUAGUCUUCAGAUUUUUAGUCUUUGUACUACAGUACUGAUAUCCACCACCUAUAAAUAAUAAUAUCAGGUGCCUACUGGUUUUACACACACAAUACCAUAUUUGAGGUUGUAUAUUAUGGGUCAAAUACACUAAAAUAGAACCAGCAAGUUUCUCUGAACAUACUUAUUCGCUAAGCAAAACUGGCAGGCUAGAAAGAAGAGGCUUUCAAUACAGGCAGAUCUUUUUCUGGAAAGCACAAUGGCUAAAACAAAUUGGAAAUCUAACCACUUGCUCCUGUGUUUAAGCACAUGGUUAUUUAAGUUUGGAAAAUCGUUCAGGGUAUUUCAUGCUAUUUGUAAAUGUUCCACCCAACAUUUUUCUCAGAAAUAAUUUGAUAGUCACAUUUAAAUCUCAAGUCUGUAAGAUUUAACAUUGUAGAUUGAUUUUGCUGUUUUCCUGCAUUUCUAACUUUAUUGAUAGCUUCUACUAAGUUUGUGUGAGUCCUAGCUAGCUUUUACUGAGUGUGAGUGGGUCCUAGCUAGCUUUUACUGAGUGAGUGGGUUCUAGCUUUCAGAAAUAUAAUUGUUUGUUGAAUGGUAGUUUAGCAUUUAGAUCACAUGCAAAAGCUAGUAAUCUGACAGUAACUGUCAGAACUAAAAGUCCGUUUUUCCUCCUUCAGUCCCUGAGGAGUGUUUGUAUCCUAACCCCCGGCCCCCACCCAGAACUCCUCCAUGUGUGCACACACUACCGUGUGUGCAGAGACAAUCACUUAUGUGUUCCUCUGUCUUCCUGUCUUGUAUUCACUGCAAUAUAAACUGUCCUGUAACCUAAUCCAGUUGUACCCUCUCUCCACCUCUUAUGAUGUUCAUAUGAAGUAAUUGCUAUGUAAACAUAGACAAAAACUUGGUAGAAAUGUACUACCUUUAAAAAAAGUAUUGUAUGCAAAAGGGCUGGUUUCCACCCUCUCAAUUAAAACAGCAAGAUAAAGUAAUGUAUUUCUUGCCCCAAGCUUUGUUGUUCUGUGUCCAUUAUGCUCCUCUCAGAGUCCCCAGCCCGUCCACUACGAGUAGCACCUUCUCCUCUCUCAGUACUCUUCCUCAAAAGCUGGGGCUGGGGACAAAAAAGACCAGACGAUGAGGUGGCAAUCUUUAGUGCUUACAGCCAACGAGGUGCUACCAAUCAAGACGAAAGCACAUGCUAAGAGUAAGGCGGAACAAAAGAACCAGUGGCCAAUGCUGAAUUUCAAGAUGACCAAAGGGCCUCAGAAGAUACAUCAUCUAUGAAGGUGCCAAGCAAGAGAAGACACAGUUAACACAGUAAAGGUAUUGAGAAAAACACAAAUUUAAAAUCCAAAUGCCACCCCAGAAGCAGAAUUCCUAAAAUUUAGAAGUCUGAUAGUUUUAAGUGUUGACAAGGAUGUGGGGCUUUAGGGAGUUCCUUACAAACCACCUUACAAAAGUGGUGGCACUUAUUAAAACACAGUGUACGCAUAGACCAAGUCCCUGUCAUUUGAGUCCUGGCUACAUAGACAACAGAUAGGAAUAUCCAUGUCACCAUGACGUUUGGGAGAAGUAGCCAUCACGUCAUUUUUUAAAUCUACAUUUAAUAACAGCCUUAGUGCAUGUCAACUGUAGUGUAUCCAUGUGGAUUUUAUCUGCUUGUUUAUAAAGGUCAUACCACUGUCCUAGACUGUUCUGAAAACUGCAAUUAUGUACAACAUGUUUGCAUCGCACAUACAAUAUCGAGAUUCUCACGAGUAAUUUAAAUUGCAUGUAUCUAAAGUUACCAGCCCGGCCAGCUGAUUGGCUACAGCUGACUUAAGUCAAGUGGUAACUGUUGGCCUUAAAGUGACGUUGGAGACAGGGAGAAUUCCUGGGGGUAGGUGCUGUCUGUGUGGGUUUGUUUAGUUUGGAAAAUAGUGUAUGAAUUGAAAAUUUGAUAAGAACUAUAUUUCCAUAAAAGGCAACAACCCCCAAAUUUAGUCCAGAUGAAUGCCCCUCAUACAGUGACUGCUACUCAGUUCAGAGGCUCUUGUCAGAGGUUCCUUUUGGUGCUGUAGCUGGCCUUUUCUACAGUAUGUAGGUUCCAUCUCCAGAAGGAAAGGUUACAAGUGAUAAUAUGCAAAACAUGCCACUGAGAACUACUGCUAGCCCUUGUGUAUGGCUUCAUUCUGUCUGUAAAACUCUCAUGAGAUGUUGCCUUCCUUCCAGGAAAGUGAAAUCUUAGAAAUGGUAGCUUGUAAAGGUUAUUCUGUAAGCGAUGAAUCGUACUUAAAUCCAGGCCUUCUGCUAGCAUAGUGCUUACUCAAACACAGAAAAGCCAGAACAGACUUUCCAUAUCUCAGAAGGCUAAAGAGUAACAAUAUAUCUUCAAACUCCUAGAAAAUGAAAGUUUGUGUGUCUCUUGGUGAAGUCAAGAUUAUAUUAUCAAUACAAAAUAUUACCUAGGGUAUCAGUGGACUGCUUACGUUACUGCCUACAAAUGCAACAAUGUCAGUUUUCCCCUGACAUUGGUCAAUUUAUUUUCCCUUCAAAUCCAAGUGUCAUUUAUCUUCGAGUUAGCCAUGGUAGCUUUAUUCUCCUGGCAGUGAAGUUCUUGACAGGAUGCUGUUUACAUAUGUUCUUGACAGGAUGCUGGUUUACAUAUGUUCUUGACAGGAUGCUGGUUUACAUAUGUUCUUUCAGUUUUCAGCAGAGGCUCUACUUGUUGAUCCCUCCUCACCUGCUUCUCUUCCCUCCUUACAAACUGAGCACCAUGCUGUGUGACUCGUGCAAAAAUACCUGGCAAGUUCCUAAAGGUCCCUAAGUCGCCACCCUCAUGCAGUGUGUCACAUUUUCCAGCUCACUUAUGAGAAAUAUUCAAUAUUCCCAAACCAAAGGUCUCAUUUCCAUUCCAAAAAUUCAAUAUUCCCCAUAUCUACAGAACUUUAGACUUUAGUAAUCUCUCAUGUGCGUUACACUUGGUCCUCCUUCAUGUGAUGCGAACUCAUGUCUCCAGUCUUCUGCCUGCUCCUUGGCUCUCACAGAGCAAUCGCACACACUGGGUGUCUCCACAAACAGGUAAGUGGGCAACCCUUUCUAGUGUGACUUUGGUCUAGAUGUCUCUCUCCUCUCCAGUCACAUCAAGGUUGAGACCCAGGCCUGCUCCUGCAAAAAUCCCUUCAUGCUUUUCCAAUUUUGGAUUUCCCAUGAGACCCUUUCUCCCCUUUUUUACUCAUUUAUGUUAUGCACGUUAAUUUCCCAUGGACAAUGGAUCCUUUGAAAACACAAUAUCAUUCUUCCUUUUCAGUUUCCUACAACCCUAUUACAACCUAAUAGAAAUGGACUGUCAGUGAUCUGAGAUGGCAAAAUGGCUAACGGGUUGCUAGUAGUUUCUGUCUACCAUGCCCUUCCUAAUUAUUUCUGAAGCCACUGGGUGUUGUUGCAAAAACAACAAAAGUCCAAGGAAGUAAAAGCUAGUUCUGACUAAAAAGCUAGUCAAAAAUCAUCCUCUUUUCUAAAGGAUCAUUUUCCAGCUCAAUGACUUGUGCAGAAGAAUUCCCAUGGUCUCCUGAAGAUCCACUGUGACAUUAAAAGGGCACAAAUACACAAAUCCUAUGCUAUAUGUUUGAAUAAUUAAAAGGUUAUAUUACGGAAGACUAUAUGGAUCUGAGUAGAUUUAAGAAUGAAUCAGUAGGGGGCUGGGGAUUUAGCUCAGUGGUAGAGCGCUUACCUAGGAAGCGCAAGGCCCUGGGUUCGGUCCCCAGCUCCGAAAAAAAGAACCAAAAAAAAAAAAAGAA